rfam:Drosophila mojavensis strain TSC#15081-1352.22 Ctg01_11616, whole genome shotgun sequence.
UUGCUGAUGAAAUUAAUUGGUCCGUGUUUAUGAAUUUUACAUUGAUUAUCAAUUCUUCCAAUUACUGAAAACA